rnacentral:misc_RNA from 1 species
UUACUUGAUCGACACAUCUCGUGAAGCGUUUAUUAGAACAUGUAUUUUACUGUCAUUAAAUGCUUCUUUUUUUUAAAAUUCAAUUGUUAAUUGUAAUUGCCUAAUGUUAAUUAACUCUGUUGGAUAAACAGGGAACUGUGAGACCCACAAAACCUGCAAAUAGGUCAGAUCAUUAGGUCGAUGAUCCCCUAUAUUUGAUGACAUUGACCAUCCCACAACUUUUUUUGAAGUCGUUGCAGGUUAUAUGGGAUGCUACCGUGUU